rnacentral:rRNA from 1 species
AGCGAACGCUGGCGGCAGGCUUAACACAUGCAAGUCGAGCGCCCCGCAAGGGGAGCGGCAGACGGGAGAGUAACACGUGGGAACGUACCCUUUGGUUCGGAACAACCCAGGGAAACUUGGGCUAAUACCGGAUAAGUCCGCAAGGAGAAAGAUUUAUCGCCAAAGGAUCGGCCCGCGUCUGAUUAGCUAGUUGGUGAGGUAACGGCUCACCAAGGCGACGAUCAGUAGCUGGUCUGAGAGGAUGAUCAGCCUCACUGGGACUGAGACACG